UACGAAGGGUGCAAGCGUUACUCGGAAUUACUGGGCGUAAAGCGUGCGUAGGUGGUUUGUUAAGUCUGAUGUGAAAGCCCUGGGCUCAACCUGGGAAUUGCAUUGGAUACUGGCAGGCUAGAGUGCGGUAGAGGAUGGCGGAAUUCCCGGUGUAGCAGUGAAAUGCGUAGAGAUCGGGAGGAACAUCUGUGGCGAAGGCGGCCAUCUGGACCAUUACUGACGCUGAGGCGCGAAAGCUAGGGGAGCAAACGGG
rnacentral:rRNA from 1 species